CACAUAGGCAAAGGCCAUGUUCAGAUGCACAAGCUCACACUCAAGGUCACUCAGGACAGUGAGUCCACAGAGUGUAAUUAGCAACAACCCAAAUGUCCAUAAGUGGGGAGCUGGCUAAAUGAAUGAGGACACAUGGAGGAUGGUGGAGUACUAUGCAGCUCUUAAAAAGAAUGAGGACUCUCUCUGGGCACCACUCUGAAGAUCUGUUCUCCACCCUUCUCUGCCCCUCGGGAAGCUGACUUAUACAUCCUGCAUCACCCAUGGAGUCAUGAGCAGGACACCAGAGGUGGUCAGUGAUACAGGGUGAUUUGAAGUAAGAAUUCCUGUUCUAGAGCCAGUCUGCUUGGCCUCCUAUCUUGACCUUGCCACUUCUUUGCCACAUGACCUUUUGUAAGUGAUUCCACCUCUCUGUGUCUCUGCCUAUCAAAUGUGGGUGUCAUAAUAGUAUCUAC